UUCAAAGGAUGUUCGAUUAAGACCGCUGCAUCCUGCAGCAACAUCGAACCAACCCACGUCGUGUGGG
rfam:Pontibacillus yanchengensis Y32 contig3, whole genome shotgun sequence.